rnacentral:rRNA from 1 species
ACGGAGGGUGCAAGCGUUAUCCGGAUUCACUGGGUUUAAAGGGUGCGUAGGUGGGCAGGAAAGUCAGUGGUGAAAUCUCCGGGCUUAACCCGGAAACUGCCGUUGAUACUAUAUAUCUUGAAUGUCGUAGAGGUAAGCGGAAUAUGUCAUGUAGCGGUGAAAUGCUUAGAGAUGACAUAGAACACCAAUUGCGAAGGCAGCUUACUAUGCGAAUAUUGACACUGAGGCACGAAAGCGUGGGUAGCAAACAGGA